rnacentral:rRNA from 1 species
GAUGAACGCUAGCGGCAGGCUUAAUACAUGCAAGUCGAGGGGCAGCAUGGACGUAGCAAUACAUUUGAUGGCGACCGGCAAACGGGUGCGGAACACGUACACAACCUUCCUAUAAGUGGGGAAUAGCCCAGAGAAAUUUGGAUUAAUACCCCGUAACAUAAUGAUGUGGCAUCACAUUAUUAUUAUAGCUUCGGCGCUUAUUGAUGGGUGUGCGGCUGAUUAGAUAGUUGGCGGGGUAACGGCCCACCAAGUCUACGAUCAGUAGCUGAUGUGAGAGCAUGAUCAGCCACACGGGCACUGAGACACGGGCCCGACUCCUACGGGAGGCAGCAGUAAGGAAUAUUGGUCAAUGGACGCAAGUCUGAACCAGCCAUGCCGCGUGAAGGAUUAAGGUCCUCUGGAUUGUAAACUUCUUUUAUCUGGGACGAAAAAAGGCUAUUCUUAGUCACUUGACGGUACCAGAUGAAUAAGCACCGGCUAACUCCGUGCCAGCCGCCGCGGUAAGAC